rnacentral:rRNA from 2 species
GGCGCGUUGGCCCAAUUGAUUGAUGGUGCUUGCACCUGAUUGAUUUUGGUCGCCAACGAGUGGCGGACGGGUGAGUAACACGUAGGUAACCUGCCCAGAAGCGGGGGACAACAUUUGGAAACAGAUGCUAAUACCGCAUAACAACGUUGUUCGCAUGAACAACGCUUAAAAGAUGGCUUCUCGCUAUCACUUCUGGAUGGACCUGCGGUGCAUUAGCUUGUUGGUGGGGUAAUGGCCUACCAAGGCGAUGAUGCAUAGCCGAGUUGAGAGACUGAUCGGCCACAAUGGGACUGAGACACGGCCCAUACUCCUACGGGAGGCAGCAGUAGGGAAUCUUCCACAAUGGGCGCAAGCCUGAUGGAGCAACACCGCGUGAGUGAAGAAGGGUUUCGGCUCGUAAAGCUCUGUUGUUAAAGAAGAACACGUAUGAGAGUAACUGUUCAUACGUUGACGGUAUUUAACCAGAAAGUCACGGCUAACUACGUGCCAGCAGCCGCGGUAAUACGUAGGUGGCAAGCGUUAUCCGGAUUUAUUGGGCGUAAAGAGAGUGCAGGCGGUUUUCUAAGUCUGAUGUGAAAGCCUUCGGCUUAACCGGAGAAGUGCAUCGGAAACUGGAUAACUUGAGUGCAGAAGAGGGUAGUGGAACUCCAUGUGUAGCGGUGGAAUGCGUAGAUAUAUGGAAGAACACCAGUGGCGAAGGCGGCUACCUGGUCUGCAACUGACGCUGAGACUCGAAAGCAUGGGUAGCGAACAGGAUUAGAUACCCUGGUAGUCCAUGCCGUAAACGAUGAGUGCUAGGUGUUGGAGGGUUUCCGCCCUUCAGUGCCGGAGCUAACGCAUUAAGCACUCCGCCUGGGGAGUACGACCGCAAGGUUGAAACUCAAAGGAAUUGACGGGGGCCCGCACAAGCGGUGGAGCAUGUGGUUUAAUUCGAAGCUACGCGAGAACCU